UACGAAGGGGGCUAGCGUUGUUCGGAAUUACUGGGCGUAAAGCGCACGUAGGCGGACAUUUUAAGUUGGAGGUGAAAGCCUUGGGCUCAACCCAAGAAUUGCCUUUGAUACUGGAUGUCUCGAGACCGGGAGAGGUGAGUGGAAUUCCGAGUGUAGAGGUGAAAUUCGUAGAUAUUCGGAAGAACACCAGUGGCGAAGGCGGCUCACUGGCCCGGUUCUGACGCUGAGGUGCGAAAGCGUGGGGAGCAAACAGG
rnacentral:rRNA from 1 species